rnacentral:lncRNA from 1 species
AGACGGAUUCAACUGUACACUUAUAAAUGAUUUCCAAUUGUCUGGUAAGUUUUUCAGCUAGUUAACCAAAUAUAAAACAUUCAUACAAGUUAUAUUUUCUUUUAAUUGCGUUAAAUACAAUGUUUUUCCCGUGUAAUAAGACUGGAUUUAAUUUCAGAAGACACAUUCUUGUCACCGCCCAUACCGACAAGUGUCAACAACAUGCUAUUCUCCUUUACAAGUCAUCUCCCGUUCCUUUUUACCAUGAACACGAAUUAUAACUCUCACAAAAUUCAGAUAAUUCUGAUUGCAGAAAACCUCAACUUAAUCUUAUCCAAAGACAUGCAAAUCCAAACGGAAUACAUCAAAACAUUUAGGAUAGCACACAGUUGUUGAAAAAACGAAUGUCAUAAAAAAAAUAUGUAGUCCUAUGAUAACACUGUAAAUAAUUAAAAAUAAAAUCGUUAUAUGGUCAUUUUCAAAAAAAUGUCGACAUUUUCAAGUACACCCAGUUGCUAAAUUUUUUAUUUCUAAUGGAAAUUUCAGUUGUAAUGGUUAAAUGAAAGUUCUGUCGGAUUUGGUUGAUUCAGAACAUUAGAUAAUAAACACACCUUACAUCUAUUUUGGAUAGAUUUAAACUGCAUUUUAAGGUCCGAUUUUGGGGGUAUUGUGUGCGUACGAUGGCUGUCAAAAAAACACAAUUUCAAAUUGAUUUUUUUUCGAAUUUUCUGAUCGCCUUGAUAAUCUGCAAAAGGGAAUUAUUUUAAGAAACGUUCAUUAUAAAUCUCUAAAACGAAAAAUCGUAAUUUUCUAUUAUCACUGGUCAUUAACAGAUUAUCUACAAACUAAAACUCAAUUCAGUGUACAGAGGAUUAUCAUGUCUACCUGUUACCGCUACUUAAAUCAGUCGUAAUUUAUUCUCGCCUAAGAUAUUGAAUCAGUCAGUGUUUGAUUUCGAAAAUGGCAAAGUAAUUCUUACAUUAAAAGCUCGGUUCUUGAACGACAAGUGUAUAGAAAAAAUUAUCAAGACAAUUAAGUGAAAAAAAAAUAAGCGUACUUUUUUUUUAUGUCUAUGCUGUUACCAACCAUUUUGAAUUAAUGAUGAAACUACGUAUGUUGUAAAAGUGCAAUAACGCUAUGUUGGAAACCAAAUUCACAAUAGGAAAACCUAAUCACUUUCACCAAAGGGGAUAGAUUAUUUCACAACAGCAAUCAAAAACGAAGGAAAUUUGCUUUCUAUCCUGUUAUGUCUUUCCUGGUUACGUAUGGUUGUUAUGGUUACAGUAACAGAUAGACAAUUAUAACAAAACAGUCAGUUAACUUUUUUUAUCUAACAUUGUAGGUGGAAAACGAAUGAAAUAUUUCAUUAUUUGAACCCAUUUAAGUAUAUAACGCAUUAAUUCUUCCCAAUUAAGCGUUUUGCAGGUGCAAUACUGAUAAUCGGUAACAGGAUUAGACAAAAAGUAACAGGAUAGACUUUUAAUAGUGAAUAUAUUAGAAAACGUACGUUCCUGUUCCAACGAAAUAAAGAGAAAAAGUAAAUUAACUUAUGAGGGAUUUACUUAUGUGGUUUAUUUGAAAGGGUGAAAAAAAAGGACCGAACUGCAAAUAUAAAUGCUAUCUAUAGACUUGCAUUACUGGUGUAAUUAUUUACAACUUUUGAAAAUCAUUUUAGAGCCAAUUUUUCAGAUACAACUAGAAAAGGGCAAUAAUCUAUUAUUUUAUAAGAAUUGAAUAUAUAUAGAAGUUUUAUUUUCUCUAUUGAAAAACCAAUCUAAUUGGUAACGUAAAACAAGGCAUUAACAUUAUUAUUAAACCUUUUCUAAUAACCCAAAAUUUCUUAUCUGAAAAUUGUUACAGAUAGACAAAUAUUGUAACCACCGAUCAAAAAAUGCUUUCAAGAUAUUCUGUAUUGACAUCAUUAAAAUUGCAUCUUUUAAAUAUGUUGUUCUUCAAAGUACUGUUUGUUUGAUUAUUGCCUUUAUGAGAGGGUUGUAUUGAUAAGUAACUUUAAUAAAUUAUUUCAAUGUCAAAAUUCGACAUUUUUUGAGAAAAAUGACCCAACAUCAUGAGAAAAACUUGUGCAGACGGACACUCGAGCGUGCAGGGUAAAAUGUUUAUAUAUACACUAGUUAAACACUCUUUAAAUAUGUUUGACGCGAUGGCGUAAUCGGUUUGACAGAGAAUUGGUGAUCGCAGGGCGAAUUGAGAUCGAACCUUGCAGAUAUUUUUUUUUUUCCAAACAACUUUUGUUAACGUAAUUAAGAUUUAAAAUGAAUAUUUUUAUUACGUCCAACUUUACUUUUAAUGUAAACUUUUCUUUAGAUGAUUAUGAUCUUAAAAGAAUUUGUAUUUAUGCCAGUUUUACAGACAUGUUUCAACCGUUUGCAUUUAAAACUGUUAAAGAAAAAAAAUGACCGUUGUCCGAUUUCAUCAUUUAUUAAUAUAUGAGGAGAAUGAAAGCACAAUGCGGAGUUGACAUGCUUAUUAAAGAUCUAUACACAUACGGAUUGUUCAUUGUUGAAAGGCCGUACGGUGACCUAUAGUUGUUAAUGUUUGUGUCAGUUUUGGUCUGUUUUGUGGAUAGUUGUCUCACUUGGCAAUCAUACCACAUCUUCUUUUUUUAUAUUAAGUAUAUUUCCUUUCAUUUUACAGGUUGCAACAUAUGAAUUAAUGUAGAGGUGUAAUCUUCUUCGUUUAAAGUUUCUUCUACGGACAUCAUCUGGCCAUCUUUAAAUCUUUAGAGUUGACAAACUUGUCUUACAGAUAUAGAAAUAAAAAUAAGGUAGGUUAUAUUUUAAACUCAUUAUUAAUUUAAAAAUUGUGAUACAUUUUACGCCUCAAUAAGGGCAUAGUGUUUUUCGGUCUUUGUGUCUGUUCAUUUGUCCGUUCGUUCGUUCGUCCGUCCAUCUGUCCCGCUUCAGGUUAAAGUUUUGGUCAAGGUAGUUUUUGAUGAGGUUGAAGUUCAAUCAACGUGAAACUUAGUACCAGGGCCGUAACUAGCCUCUUUUAAUAGUGAGGCAAAAUAUAUUCGCCGAGCGUAUAGAGGCGAAAAAAAUACACAUGUUCCCUGUGAUAUGAUCUUUCUGAUUUAAAUGACAAGUUAGAGUUUUACCCGAAAUCACGGUCCUAUAAACAUGGAAAAUGGUAGUGUGAUUAGGGCAUCCGUGUACUAUGGACCGUAACAUUAUUGUUCAUAUUUUUUUUUAACUCUAUCCAAAUUGAAUAAUUAUUUAUUACUGUAAUUAAAAGGACAAAGUAUAAAGCUGCGAUUUCAUAUACUGGAAAAAACAGAAUAUGGGGUAUCCAUCCAUGACACAUGUGACAUAUGCAGUACAAUUUUAUUGGUUUUAAUCUUUCAACUUCAUUAUAAAUAACACUCACAGUAAUUACUUAUUAUAGGGUGAUUUACAAAUGCAGUGUAUAAAAAGAAACAAUCUUUUGUUUCAGAUAAUUGAAAGGAAUGUAGGACAUGAUAUUGGAUAGACUUCGGACUGUUUGGGUUUUUCAUUAAGUUAAUAAAUCAGAUUUACGUGUCUGGUAAGUUUAUUGGAAUAUAAUUUUCUUUAAAAGAUGUGGUAUGAUGACCAAUUAGACAAAUCUCAACCAGAGAGGAAAUGACAUAGAAGGUAACGACUUUAGGUCACCGUACAGUCUUCAACAAUAAACAAAACCCAUACCGCAAAUAAGCAAUAAAUUACCACAAAAAUGAGAAUUCUCUGUUUAAAAUGGCAGCUGACACUUUCAAGGCAGGACAAAUUCAUCUUCAAGAAAACUACGUUGUACAGAAUCAAUUCAGAUGUUGCUGAUAGGUUGUUUGCUGUAUAGUUUCAGUUUCCUGUUUUUGAUAUACUUCUUUUUAUUAUCAAUUCAAUUGUCUUGUUGAAUCUAAUUUUCAUCUUCCACGUUUUGCUCUUAUGGCUGCAUUCUGAUUUCAGUAAUAACGCAGUGUUAACUUUUUUUUUGUUAAUGUCCUGGAGUCGUAUAUAUUUUUUGAAGAUCUAAAUGUAGACUGUAUUUAAAUUAAUCAUAUUUUUUUUUUAUUUCAGUAACACAGACAAAAUGUUAUAUGUAUAUCCUUACAUAUGUAUAAAACAAAUAUAAAAAUGUAGUAGGCUGCCAUAAACAUUAAAAUAAGGAAUGGGACAGGGACUAUCACUGUAAGUUUGAAAUGCAUAGUGACGUGGAUUUAAAGAUAGACAUAUACAUAUGUUAAAGACAUCAGAAAACAAUCAUCAAAGCGUGCAUGCUAGCUUAUUUCUAUAUUUUAUAUCUACAUCUACAGACGCCGAAAUGAUAAAAAUUGAAAGACAACAUUGCUUUUUAUUUUGAACGCAGAUAUAUUUUUAUCUUGACUUUUGUGUUUAAAUAAUUGAAUUUCU